ensembl:snRNA U7 U7 small nuclear RNA
UAGUAUUAGGCCUCUUUUAGAAUUUGUCUAGCAGGUUUUCCAGUUUCCACCAGAAAACCAUA